rnacentral:rRNA from 1 species
GACGAACGCUGGCGGCGUGCUUAACACAUGCAAGUCGUACGGAAAGGCCCUGCUUGCAGGGUGCUCGAGUGGCGAACGGGUGAGUAACACGUGGGUGAUCUGCCCUGCACUUUGGGAUAAGCCUGGGAAACUGGGUCUAAUACCGGAUAGGACUCUUGGCUGCAUGGUUGAGGGUGGAAAGUUCCUUUGGGAGCGGUGUGGGAUGGGCCCGCGGCCUAUCAGCUUGUUGGUGGGGUGAUGGCCUACCAAGGCUGCGACGGGUAGCCGGCCUGAGAGG